rnacentral:sRNA from 1 species
AGCAGUUAAUACACAGGCUCUGAGUGGAGCAGGAAUAUUGAGGAUGGUGAACAAGGCUGCCGACGCUGUCAACAAAAUGACAAUCAAGAUGAAUGAAUCGGAUGCAUGGUUUGAAGAAAAGCAGCAGCAAUUUGAGAAUCUGGAUCAGCAACUUAGGAAACUUCAUGUCAGUGUUGAAGCCUUGGUCUGUCAUAGAAAAGAACUUUCAGCCAACACAGCUGCCUUUGCUAAAAGUGCUGCCAUGUUAGGUAAUUCUGAGGAUCAUACUGCUUUAUCUAGAGCUUUGUCUCAGCUUGCAGAGGUUGAGGAGAAGAUAGACCAGUUACAUCAAGAACAAGCUUUUGCUGACUUUUAUAUGUUUUCAGAACUACUCAGUGACUACAUUCGUCUUAUUGCUGCAGUGAAAGGUGUGUUUGACCAUCGAAUGAAGUGCUGGCAGAAAUGGGAAGAUGCUCAAAUUACUUUGCUCAAAAAACGUGAAGCUGAAGCAAAAAUGAUGGUUGCUAACAAACCAGAUAAAAUACAGCAAGCUAAAAAUGAAAUAAGAGAGAAAGAACGAGUGAAGGAUUUUAAAACCGUUAUCAUCAAGUACUUAGAAUCACUAGUUCAAACACAACAACAGCUGAUAAAAUACUGGGAAGCAUUCCUACCUGAAGCCAAAGCCAUUGCCUAGCAAUAAGAUUGUUGCCGUUAAGAAGACCUUGGAUGUUGUUCCAGUUAUGCUGAAUUCCACAGUGAAAUCAUUUAAAACCAUCUAAAUAAACCACUAUAUAUUUUAUGAAUUACAUGUGGUUUUAU